GAUGAACGCUGGCGGCGUGCCUAAUACAUGCAAGUCGAGCGAACAGACGAGGAGCUUGCUCCUCUGACGUUAGCGGCGGACGGGUGAGUAACACGUGGAUAACCUACCUAUAAGACUGGGAUAACUUCGGGAAACCGGAGCUAAUACCGGAUAAUAUAUUGAACCGCAUGGUUCAAUAGUGAAAGACGGUUUUGCUGUCACUUAUAGAUGGAUCCGCGCCGCAUUAGCUAGUUGGUAAGGUAACGGCUUACCAAGGCAACGAUGCGUAGCCGACCUGAGAGGGUGAUCGGCCACACUGGAACUGAGACACGGUCCAGACUCCUACGGGAGGCAGCAGUGGGGAAUCUUGCGCAAUGGGCGAAAGCCUGACGGAGCAACGCCGCGUGAGUGAUGAAGGUCUUCGGAUCGUAAAGCUCUGUUGUUAGGGAAGAACAAAUGUGUAAGUAACUAUGCACGUUUUGACGGUACCUAAUCAGAAAGCCACGGCUAACUACGUG
rnacentral:rRNA from 1 species